UAAAUAUUUACUUAUAAAUUUAAUUAAUUAAUUUGUUAUUAUAAUAAACAAUUAUUGAUUAUAAUCGAUAAUUAUUGAAUAUAAAUGGAUUUGAAAGACAAUACAAAAUUAUAAUAACUAAUUGUUGUUGGACAAUCAAUUAUGGAUGUUGGGAUAAGAUGGAUCGUUGCUGGUAUAAGUUUUGAUAAUACUGAAGUUAGCUGACAUCUAAUAAUUUUUGUAUUUUUUUUUUUAAAAACGAUAAAAUGUUUUUAAAAAUUG